AAACCAUCUCUCCAACAUCUGUCACUCCAUGGAGUGCCAGGGUUCAGCUGAUCUGGCCAGAUAGGCAGAUAUUCCAAAUGUUCCCAUCCUUCCUCAUGGCUCUAAGUAUGUCCCUCAGGAAGCUACAGUGCUCAAUCCUAGAGGAUAACCUUUCCUGAAUAGAGAAGUAUGGGUCUUGGGCUGAGGCUC
rnacentral:snRNA from 1 species